rnacentral:rRNA from 1 species
AUUGAACGCUGGCGGCAGGCCUAACACAUGCAAGUCGAGCGGAGCGGCGGACGGGUGAGUAAUGCCUAGGAAUCUGCCUGGUCGUGGGGGCUAACGUCCGGAAACGGGCGCUACUCCCGCAUCCUAUCACAUGAGCCUAGGUCGGAUUAGCUAGUUGGUGGGGUAACGGCCUACAAAGGCGACGCUCCGGAACUGGUCUGAGAGGAUGAUCAGUCACAGUGGAACUGAGACACGGGCCAGACUCCGACGGGAGGCAGCAGUGGGGAAUAUUGGACAAUGGGCGAAAGCCUGAUCCAGCCAUGCCGCGUGUGUGAAGAAGGUCUUCGGAUUGUAAAGCACUUUAAGUUGGGAGGCGUUACCAACAGAAGAAGCACCGGCUAACUUCGUGCCAGCAGCCGCGGUAAUUC